rnacentral:rRNA from 1 species
CACCGCGGUUAUACGAGAGACCCAAAUUGAUAGAAAACGGCGUAAAGAGUGGUUAAGAGACCUAAAAACUAAGGCCGAACGCUUCCAAGGCUGUUAUACGCUCCCGAAAGUAAGAAGCACAACUACGAAAGUGGCCUUAUCAGCCUGAACCCACGAAAGCUGGGGUA